rnacentral:lncRNA from 1 species
GUCCUGGUAUCUAUGAUGAAUUUAUUUAAUCAAUUUUGCGCCUGUCCCAAGUCAGGAGCCUUUAGCCUUUGUUAGUCUUUUUUUUUUAGUUUCUUGUGUAUAAUUCAGAGUUUAGUAUGACAUCCAUUAUCACUGUUCUAGUAUACAUAUUUUUUAAGUUGCCAGCUGAAGGACGCCUCUCGCUACAUUGAAGACUCAUUGGUGGCCUUCGGCUGUUGUCUACUUUAUGGUCGGGUUGUUGUCGCUUUGACACCAUUCCCAUUUCCAUUCUCAAUUUUUUCAUACAUUGGUGAUGUUUUUAUAAACCAAGUUUCAAGUUCAACUUGAUAGCACAGUCAUGUAUUGACAAUAAACACAUUGAACUUGAAACCAAGAUCACAACUGUACUGACAUAUUAAUACAUUUUUUCUGUUAGAUUGAAGUAAAAAUUACAAACACACUCACAUACACAUUCAAAUCAAAAUAUUUUAAAACAUAUAAAAUAUUGUAAUUAAUGAAAGGAAAUUAAGAUGAAAGAUUGAUUAUUUGAAUGUUUGUCUUUAACGCCAGUUUCAGCGCCAUUGGCUAUAUCGUCUCAGACAAUGGUUAUUGGUGGAGCAAAUAGAAUUGCCUGGGGAAUGGUUUGUGAAAAACUGGCAAUCCUAGUUAACAAAGAUUGGAGUCAACCUCACAGACCUCAGUUUUCACACGUUAAUUAUCAAAUAAACCAUCAACUUGGACAACUUGACCAAUAAAGCUUAGAUAAAAG